CAAUAGCGUAUAUUAAAGUUGUUGCAGUUAAAAAGCUCGUAGUUGGAUUUGUGGCGUACGGUGUGUUCCGGGCACUUGUUGUCUGAGUAACCUGCUGUUGCCAUCCUUGGGUGGAACCUGUGUGGCAUUAGGUUGUCGUGCAGGGGAUGCCCAUCAUUUACUGUGAAAAAAUUAGAGUGUUCAAAGCAGGCUUAUGCCGUUGAAUAUAUUAGCAUGGAAUAAUGAGAUAGGACUUUUUUGCUAUUUUGUUGGUUUGCGCAAAGAGGUAAUGAUUAAUAGGGACAGUUGGGGGUAUUCGUAUUCCAUUGUCAGAGGUGAGAUUCUUGGAUUUUUGGAAGACGAACUACUGCGAAAGCAUUUACCAAGGAUGUUUUCAUUAA
rnacentral:rRNA from 1 species